rnacentral:rRNA from 1 species
UGGGGAAUAUUGCGCAAUGGGGGGAACCCUGACGCAGCCAUGCCGCGUGAAUGAAGAAGGCCUUCGGGUUGUAAAGUUCUUUCGGUAUUGAGGAAGGUUGAUGUGUUAAUAGCACAUCAAAUUGACGUUAAAUACAGAAGAAGCACCGGCUAACUCCGUGCCAGCAGCCGCGGUAAUACGGAGGGUGCGAGCGUUAAUCGGAAUAACUGGGCGUAAAGGGCACGCAGGCGGUUAUUUAAGUGAGGUGUGAAAGCCCUGGGCUUAACCUAGGAAUUGCAUUUCAGACUGGGUAACUAGAGUACUUUAGGGAGGGGUAGAAUUCCACGUGUAGCGGUGAAAUGCGUAGAGAUGUGGAGGAAUACCGAAGGCGAAGGCAGCCCCUUGGGAAUGUACUGACGCUCAUGUGCGAAAGCGUGGGGAGCAAACAGGAUUAGAUACCCUGGUAGUCCACGCUGUAAACGCUGUCGAUUUGGGGAUUGGGCUUAGAGCUUGGUGCCCGUAGCUAACGUGAUAAAUCGACCGCCUGGGGAGUACGGUCGCAAGGUUA